UGAAAUUAGUUCUAAGUAAGUUAUUUAAUAUACUACAAACAUUUAUUAGGUACUUAUUAAAAUAUGAAUGUUUCAAAUUUUUUUUUAGCUGUUGUCAUAGACAAUGUCGAUUGGAUUGUCUAUCAGCCUUCAUGAACAUCCCCAAAUGACGAACCCUGCGGUAACAUAUUCAGUAUUAUAUAAACAAUUAAAUUUUUCUUACAUUAAUUCAGUGUAAAAUUAUUGCAGUUUGAUAAUAAUAAACAAUGUCUCUUCAUAAUGAACGAUUAAAAAUACAUACAGAACUGUGUGUAUAGUUGGCAGAGGUCAAUGCAGCGGUGGUGGUUCCAUUCAUCAUUGGCGAACUUGGGGCCUGAGAUCCAUCCGACAACAAUGAUCUGUUU
rnacentral:lncRNA from 1 species